CAAAACAAUCCCUCAUCACUAGUGCAUUAAAAACACUGCAGGAUUCCUGUGAUGAGGUUUUAUCUCCAAACUGGAUUGAUGCACUACUUGAGAAGAUUAAGGCGGAGAAACAGUCUAUGGGACAUGAACUCCUGCAGUCUCUCUGUAGGGUUUAUGUGGGAUUGUGUCAACAGUGAUGAGACUCUCAUAAAGCACAUGCCCUCGCCUACAGACUUCUUAAAGAAGACUCUUCUGAAGCCCCAAAACUGAUAAUGGUCAUGGUGACAGCAUGGCCAAGUGUUUUCUCCUGUAACAGCCCUUUAUGCAGAGGCGUUCACAUCGUGUGAAAAAUGAAGGCAUACGGAAAGAUUUAUUAUUUGCUCAGCAAAUCUCUGCACUGGGAUACGAUUUGCCGUGGGAGCUGCAGCUCGCAGUGGUUUAUGCCACUCAUGAUCUGGCACCCAGCAGCCCCAAAGUCGCUCUGAACGCUUUGGAAUCGUGGAAGAAAGACCUCACAAAGCCCGUUCCUCCAGCCGUCACCAAGUGCCUGAAGCAGAUCAGCUUUCUUUG